CAGGUAUGUGGGGACGUGUGCGGGACAUGUGUGGGGACAGGUGUGUGGGGACAGGUUAGGUACAGGUGUGUGGGGACUGAUACUGCUCAGGAACAGCUUUGUAUAUGGUAAUCUGAGGAGUGUGAAGUUUUCUGUCCCGGGCAUCCUUGCCUGCUUAGGUUAUCCCUCUUGUAUUCAUAACUGCCCUUUCUCUAGAUCUGAAAGUCCAUCCUAAAGCUACACUGAACACAUGCCCACUAUGCACUCACACUCGGACUUGUGUGUUAAGUUAUUAUGAUGCGCUGUGUUCUGCUCGCUGUGUGUUCACUUAGACGUACACUCUGUCCCUUGCAUUGUUCAUCAAUCCAUCCUAUAUCUAAGCCGCCUAUUUCUGGCCAGUGUUGCAGGGGGUGCUGGAGCCUAUCCCAGCAUGCAUUGGGCAGGAGACAGGAAUAUGCGUAGAUUUGAGGGCCACGUUGGAAUAUCCUUGACAGAGCAACCACACAUUAGAGCUUUUAAUAAAUCAAGACUAACUUCUUACGUUUCCUUA